GGAGGGCCAUAGCUCAGUGGUAGAACAUCGGCUUUGCAUGCAGAAGGUCCCAGGUUCAGUUCUUGGCAUCUUUA